GACGAACGCUGGCGGCGUGCCUAAUACAUGCAAGUCGAACGAGAGCAACCGGUGCUUGCACUGGUCAAUCUAGUGGCGAACGGGUGAGUAACACGUGGGUAACCUGCCCAUCAGAGGGGGAUAACAUCCGGAAACGGAUGCUAAAACCGCAUAGGUCUUCGAACCGCAUGGUUUGAAGAGGAAAAGAGGCGCAAGCUUCUGCUGAUGGAUGGACCCGCGGUGCAUUAGCUAGUUGGUGAGGUAACGGCUCACCAAGGCCGUGAUGCAUAGCCGACCUGAGAGGGUGAUCGGCCACAUUGGGACUGAGACACGGCCCAAACUCCUACGGGAUGCAGCAGUAGGGAAUCUUCCGCAAUGGACGAAAGUCUGACGGAGCAACGCCGCGUGAGUGAAGAAGGUUUUCGGAUCGUAAAACUCUGUUGUUAGAGAAGAACAAGUGCUAGAGUAACUGUUAGCGCCUUGACGGUAUCUAACCAGAAAGCCACGGCUAACUACGUG
rnacentral:rRNA from 1 species